AGAGCGAACGCUGGCGGCAGGCCUAACACAUGCAAGUCGAGCGGCCGUAGCAAUACGGCAGCGGCAGACGGGAUAGUAACACGUGGGAACGCGCCCUUCGGUUCGGAAUAACUCAGGGAAACUUGAGCUAAUACCGGAUACGCCCUUACGGGGAAAGAUUUAUUGCCGAAGGAACGGCCCGCGUCGGAUUAGCUAGUUGGUGAGGUAAUGGCUCACCAAGGCGACGAUCCGUAGCUGGUCUGAGAGGAUGACCAGCAUCACUGGGACUGAGACACGGCCCAGACUCCUACGGGAGGCAGCAGUGGGGAAUAUUGGACAAUGGGCGCAAGCCUGAUCCAGCCAUGCCGCGUGGAUGAUGAAGGCCCUAGGUUGUAAAGUCCUUUUAACGGGGAAGAUAAUGACGGUACCCGUAGAAUAAGCCCGGCUAACUUCGUGCCAGCAGCCGC
rnacentral:rRNA from 1 species